ACCGCAGGCCGCCUUAUCGCUGCUCUUUUUGAGUGGAGGAAAGUCCGGGCACCGUAGAGCAGCAUAGCGGGUAACGCCCGUCACAUCCAAGUAAUUGGGUGGAGGACAAGUGCAACAGAAAGCAAGUACAGUUCGGCUGUAGUGAAACCAGGUAAACUCUAUGCGGUGAAAUGUCAAGUAUACCGACUCCCGAUUUUUUUGGGAAAGGGCGGCUCGCCUGAUGUCGGAGGGUAGGCAGAUAGAAUUGUCCAGCAAUGGACGAUCCAGAUAAAUGAUAAGGGCUCUUUCGAGUACAGAACCCGGCUUACAGGCCUGCUUUUUUU
rnacentral:RNase_P_RNA from 1 species